AAACCUAAACUGCUUCACGUUUCAAUUAUUAACUUCUGCACAAAUUUAGUCAUUGAUGACCUAUGCAGUACAACAUUUGAAUAGUGUGUUGCGGGAAAGAGCUGAGUAGAGGAGGAAAAAAUAAUAAUAAUAAUUUUGUGCAAUUAAUUCAUAGUUCUGCUGUGAUCACUGAUGCAAAAAGGCCUACUUUAUGCAUAAACAAACACCUCAACGCUUAGAACACAUGAUAUACGCUGUCAGAAUUAUUAUUAGUUGAGUGCUUUGAUGAGGACGUUUAGCUGGUCAGAAGAUAAACGAGAUGAUGGAGAAUCCUGAGUGUUCGCCUGGCACAGAAAAGCACCACAGAGUAAGAACGAGGUCCUCCUGCUACAGGGUACACUGGAAAAGUACAUAUUUCUUAUGGAAACCCACAAUCUUCUGAUUGGUGAUAAAGUGGACUCCCAUCGCUGCAAGGCGUCUUCAGCGAAUGAUGAUUCAUCCCGAUUUUCGGCUCCCUGCGUGAGAGGUCCUUCUUCUGUCGUGUCCUACGUCAGACUGUGCUUGCCCACUUCUCUACACAAAGCUGGGCCGGUAGAGUGUACAUGGCCAGGUCUUCUCUAUCUACAUAAUCGCCUUUGACAGGUUGUGUCGAACCCAAGCCUGUGCCAUGCCAGGAAUGAAUCAGCAUCUCCGCUGGAGGGCUCUGCAUAAGUGUAUCUCUUUCAUCCUGACAAGAUAAAAGAAUGAAAAGAGAAGCAAACCUGUGAAAUGUUCCUUCUUUUGUCUGGGCUUUAUAUGUUUCACUGUUGGUUUAAAUGGUAGUUUUAUGUUCUUUGCAGGCCUCAAAAAAUUGGCCCAUUUUCAGUCAUGUAAUCUACAAUGUAAUACACACAUCAAAUAAAAUCAACAGACUGAAAAAAUAUUGCCUCAUUCAUACUAU